GAUGAACGCUGGCGGCGCGCCUAACACAUGCAAGUCGAACGGCACCUAUCUUCGGAUAGAAGCGAGUGGCGAACGGCUGAGUAACACGUGGAGAACCUGCCCCCUCCCCCGGGAUAGCCGCCCGAAAGGACGGGUAAUACCGGAUACCCCGGGGUGCCGCAUGGCACCCCGGAUAANAGCCCCGACGGGAGGGGAUGGCUCCGCGGCCCAUCAAGUAGACGGCGGGGUGACGGCCCACCGUGCCGACAACGGGUAGCCGGGUUGAGAGACCGACCGGCCAGAUUGGGACUGAGACACGGCCCAGACUCCUACGGGAGGCAGCAGUGGGGAAUCUUGCGCAAUGGGGGGAACCCUGACGCAGCGACGCCGCGUGCGGGACGGAGGCCUUCGGGUCGUAAACCGCUUUCAGCAGGGAAGAGUCAAGACUGUACCUGCAGAAGAAGCCCCGGCUAACUACGUGCCAGCAGCCGCGGUAAUACGUAGGGGGCGAGCGUUAUCCGGAUUCAUUGGGCGUAAAGCGCGCGUAGGCGGCCCGGCAGGCCGGGGGUCGAAGCGGGGGGCUCAACCCCCCGAAGCCCCCGGAACCUCCUCGGCUUGGGUCCGGUAGGGGAGGGUGGAACACCCGGUGUAGCGGUGGAAUGCGCAGAUAUCGGGUGGAACACCGGUGGCGAAGGCGGCCCUCUGGGCCGAGACCGACGCUGAGGCGCGAAAGCUGGGGGAGCGAACAGGAUUAGAUACCCUGGUAGUCCCAGCCGUAA
rnacentral:rRNA from 1 species